ensembl:snRNA U6 U6 spliceosomal RNA
ACACUCACUUCAGAAGAACAUAUACUUAAAUUGGAAUGAUACAGAGAAGAUUAACAGGACCCCUGCCCAAGGAUGACACGCAAAUUGGUGAAACGUUCCAUAUUUUU